GUUUCCUCUUUUGUUCUUAUCAAGGCCAUGAAGUGAAGAGUUUCUGCUACAGCACAUACUCCAGGCACAGCAUGCAAGACCACGUCCCCACAGACAGCCCCAAAGCAACAGGGAAACAAGAACAAAGGACAGCCAAAGGGAGGCAGAAAGACUGGAGAAAGAGUACAAUGUUCUCUGAUAGUUGUUGCUUGGGGCCAAGUGCAAGUGAUCUCCACAUUCCAUAGAAAUGGCUUCUGAUUGACCACAAGAGCUGCUGUGCCUCAGGACACUACAAAAGAGAAGAAAUUGCAGCUUUCUACAUCCCUCAGGGUAUUAACUCCAAAACUGUGAGUUGUCCAUAUGUGGGCACCAAGCAUAUCCUGUGGCACCUGCUACUUGGCACAGCUUUCCUUUCAGUAACCCAGUGGGCACUGGUGGCUACGGGCUUCGUUGAAGGAAGUAUGUCACUGUGGGCAUGGGUAAUGAGACCCUGCUUCUAACCAUAUGAGAGCCAGUCUUUUCCUAGCUGAUUUUGGAACAAGACGUAGAACUCUCGGCUCCUCCAGUGCCAUGCCUGCCUAGAUGUUGCCAUGCUUCCUGCCAUAAUGAUAAUGGACUGAACUUCUGAAUCU
ensembl:lincRNA Gm42813 predicted gene 42813